rnacentral:rRNA from 1 species
GCUGGAGAUACUAUUAGACUGAGACCGGGAGAGGUUAGAGGUACGUCCCAGGGUAGAGGUGAAAUUCUGUAAUCCUGGGAGGACCGCCUGUUGCGAAGGCGUCUAACUGGAACGGUUCUGACGGUGAGGGACGAAAGUUAGGGGCGCGAACCGGAUUAGAUACCCGGGUAGUCCUAACUGUAAGCGAUGCGGACUUGGUGUUGGGGUGGGCUUUGAGCUGCUUCAGUGCCGAAGGGAAGCUGUUAAGUCCGCCGCCUGGGAAGUACGGUCGCAAGACUGAACUUAAAGGAAUUGGCGGGGGAGCACCACAACGCGUGGAGCCUGCGGUUUAAUUGGAUUCAACGCCGGACAUCUCACCAGAGGCGACAGCUGUAUGAUAGCCAGGUUGAUGACUUUGCUUGACUAGCUGAGGGGAGGUGCAUGG